GACGAACGCUGGCGGCGUGCCUAAUACAUGCAAGUUGAGCGCUGAAGGUUGGUACUUGUACCCACUGGAUGAGCAGCGAACGGGUGAGUAACGCGUGGGGAAUCUGCCUUUGAGCGGGGGACAACAUUUGGAAACGAAUGCUAAUACCGCAUAAAAACUUUAAACACAAGUUUUAAGUUUGAAAGAUGCAAUUGCAUCACUCAAAGAUGAUCCCGCGUUGUAUUAGCUAGUUGGUGAGGUAAAGGCUCACCAAGGCGAUGAUACAUAGCCGACCUGAGAGGGUGAUCGGCCACAUUGGGACUGAGACACGGCCCAAACUCCUACGGGAGGCAGCAGUAGGGAAUCUUCGGCAAUGGACGAAAGUCUGACCGAGCAACGCCGCGUGAGUGAAGAAGGUUUUCGGAUCGUAAAACUCUGUUGGUAGAGAAGAACGUCGGUGAGAGUGGAAAGCUCAUCAAGUGACGGUAACUACCCAGAAAGGGACGGCUAACUACGU
rnacentral:rRNA from 1 species